CAGGUAACCAAUAUCCAUAAGAAAUAUGUUUUAACAAAAGCAAAUAGUGCAUGGAGAACAGAAAAAUCAACAAAAGCAAUGAUUGGUCAAGGAUGUUACAACUGUGCAAGAAAUGAAAAGGAAGUUGCAACAUACUGUAAGAAAGAUGAUUGGGAAAAGCUUAUUAAUAACAUCCCUGAAGAAAAAUUCCGAAAAAAUCUGAACAAGCAGGAACGGUCACAAGUGAAGGCUCAGUAUACAGGUGGUAGGGAAGGUAUCCCUACAAUGUGGAUUGAAAUGGUCCGACACUCGACUGGAAAACCAUCGGAUAGCAGAUAGCAGAUGAUGAAAUCCUGUUGGAUUAAACCACAAUCAACAUUCUCAUAUCCAUUAAACCUUAUGCAGCUAUCUUUUUUCUCCACUUGUAACAAAUCUUCAUAGUCCAGACUCCAUAGACUCAUUCAUAAACUGGAAAAUAACAUGACGAUAUUUUCUCUCAAAAGAAUAAGUAAGUAUUAAUAAAUCUGGUACUUUUCUUUGAUUUG